AUUAGAAGAGCAGGUUAAUGCAUAUAAUUUAGGGUUAUGGGGGUAGUCUGAUU
rnacentral:tRNA from 1 species